rnacentral:precursor_RNA from 12 species
UAUUUCUAUAUAAAAAUGUCGCUGUAUUGCUGGGGUUUCCUAGCGGCAUGUGCCUUCUUCUAUGCAAUGCCCUUGGAAAUCCCAAACGUGCUGGCGACACCGACUGCAACACUCGU